AGGACCUUUUAACUGGCCACAUACCUCGUCAUGGGUAAGCCUGAACCCGGCUAUUCCAUACGUGAAAAGACAACCGCGCACUGGGUGUGGGAGAUGGUGGGAGUAGCAGUUACCCUCCUGGCAAGAGGCUGGAUGGUAGGGUAAUGUGCUCCCGGGUAGCGCGGACCGGUUCAUGUAGUGGAGGAUCCGUGGGAAUGGUUGACAUAUGCAAGGGUUAAGUGCUACAUAUGUCGUGUGGUUGGAGAUCCCCAACUGGGUAUUAAUCGAUUCGGAUCGCCCUUACUUCUCGGAUAUGAAGACUGGAUCGCUGCCCUUCAUCGUAGAUAACAAGCGAAGCAAAAUUUUGAUUUUAAAAGAAAGUUAGUAUAGGACAAGUGAAUGCUCUAGAUUAGGCAAAUCUAGAUUCAGGAAAAGUACUUAACUUGUGAUGUAAAAUUUUGGCAUAAGGAUCCACUACUAGUAAGCUUUUCUGCAAAAAUGAGUCUUUGAAAUUUGAUAAGCUUUACCUUGAUUCCCGACAAACCAGCAUACCCUUGAGAGUCUUUUCUUUAGUCGGGUAAGUCUUACUGAGUAAUUGCGUACUUAGGGUUUUAUUCCCUGUUGUUUUUCAGGUUGUAAUUUUGUUCUGUUGUGGAUGGUGCUAAGUGCCGGUGGGCUUGGCCUUCUUAUAUAAGUAUAUCCCUUCUAUAGUUUCUUUAAUGAGGAUUGUCACUUAAGCUAGCAUGUAUUUCAAAUUUACAAAUAUUCUAUAUCAUUUUAAAGUGUAAUUCUUUUGAAACACUUUCCUUUGUAAUCACUCUGAUGAGGUAUAAUAAAAUAUUGAUAAACUUGUAAUCAUUUUGUAAUAAAGAGUUUAUUUCUGCUACAAGUGUUUGUAUGUGAGUUGUGUUUACUUAAUCCUGCGAUCUUGGCGGUAAGAGGUUUAUCCGGGGUCCUUGGGACAUUCGGACAGAUCCUGUUAAGUUGUUUGGUGCACAUGCAUGGCCGUUUGAGGUCCUUGGGACAAGGACAGGUGCAUGUGGGCCCAAUAACUUGGGAGGUUCUGCCACAGCUGGUAUCGGAGCAUGAUUAAGUAUAAUACGGUCACAUACACAUUUUCAAAAUAAAGUUUUGGUUUCGAAAAAGUUAUUUUCAACUAAACACAUUGUUUGGUUUUGAAAAACAGAUUUGAAAAACUAUAAUGCUAGCGACAUCCUCUGUUAAGCCCUAAAUUAAGGACUAUUAGGUGGCUUAGUUCAGAAUACUAACCCACAACCUGGGAAGGGUAAUGCAUACAUGUGUAUUGUUAUUUUUGAGGCCAUUCAGUCUUGAAUGGAUGGAUGCUCAAGGUAAGGUGAGAUGUGAGGGCAUGACCGGACAAACGUCGGUUUAGGGGAGUGCUUAAUUGUGGCGCUUGAUUAUAUACAUGUUACACAUAUGUAUAUAUGAAGGCUGCGAUGUGGAGUAUUUAAUUUUCUGGGAUUCAGUACCCCAUGGAUGUGUAUGGAUAUGCAGACAUGGGAAUACUGAGAAGUGUAAUGUACUCGCAACGACGCACCUACGCUCAGGUAAAAAGGUGAGUUACCAUAAUGAGCUACCCUAUGGUUAAAGUGUGGCAGCGGCGCCUAUGCGUGGCUCGGCGCUUAAUGAGGAGCUGGCCUCUAUAUAGAAAUAUAUGGAGUAUAAACUGUGAUAAACUAUCAUGUGUGAAUUGCAUCAUUGGGAACUGGGCUGUGAUGAAAUUUUCUGCAGGUACACUAACUUCGAACUCGUAUGUUUAGCUGACGACUAGCAAAAUACCGUGAGAGUCGUAAGUAUGCCACCGAUAUAGAACGCUAUUGCCACAGUAUGUUGGCAAAACUCGUGAGGACAUGUAGUACGAGCAUGCAUCCUGAUUGUUGCAUCAUGUUUGUCACCUAUACACCCAAAAUGCUUUUCUCAUCUUUAUUCCAGUAAACAAUGAUUGUAGAUAAUGUGGUGUAAUGCGGUAUUAUGAACGUGUCACACCCGGGUUUUAGGGGUCCAAAGCCCGGGCGCGAACAUAAUCACCAGGUGUGCUGGGACCAAGUCUCACACAUAUGAUGAAUCAUGGCACAGGAUCGAAUGUCACAACUUUACUAUAUAAUAGGAGUUCUAUACAAAAUAAAUAAUUACAUUUAAGGAGACAACGGUCCAGCAACCCAAAGUUGACUGGGAGACGACGGCCUAGAUCUCUCACGAACUCAUCGCAGCAUCCUCCUUGCGCCUCAUCCUGCGGUACUUGUUCUUGACCUGUGGGGGGGUGUGAGAUAGCAAGAGUGAGCUCACAUACGUUCAUCGCUCAACAAGUUGUGGGGAAUAAUGUGCAUGAACUCGCCAAAGGUGGGAGCUCACGUGAAGUGUAAGGCUUACCAAAGAGAAUGGUUAGAGCUGAGCAUUGCUUUUAAAGUUGGUCAAAAUUUUAUUAGCAAUUACUAAGUAUAAGUAAAUACCAACCCAAUUAAGUAGUAGAACAAAAGUAAUAACAUCACCUGCGAUGCAAUGCAUAUGACAAAUUGAAUUUAGGUUCCAUAAAUUAAUCAUCAGAGAGUCCUGAGCUGCUCAUGACCGUGAGCUCGGCUAGUAUACCAGUUUUACACUCUGCAGAGGUGGUACCCUUUACCCACAAGUCAUGUUACCCAUCUGCCAAGGGAUCGCGACUUCCCAUACACCUCUACCGAGGAGGCGAGGCAGGGUAACACUACGAGGCUUUUACAAAGUUCCACUAGCUUCAGAAAACCCGCUACAGUUUAUAGGAAGCUCCAAUGCAGGAAUCCCUUGCAGGACCGCCAUCGCAGCAAAAUCCUCCCGAGGGCCUCCCUACACUGACCACUCCCCUACUGCCCUUGCCCCUUUCGGGUAAGGUAGUCCUCCACUAGCUUUCCUAAUUAAUCAGCCAAGGGCGUCCAUAAACCCUUGUGGUGGCACGUGUUUCUCAAGUUAAGCUCUAUGUUCCAAUUAACAUUAAUGAUCUUGACAUGAACAGUAAAUAGAAUAACAAAAUAACUGGAACAUAGAUAUGAUAAAUAAUUAUCCCAAAUCCAUGUAAAGCAAUAGCAAACUACCCAAGUGAUUCAGGGGUAAACAAGGUAAUGAGAUAAACAAUCUAGGGUGACCUAUUGGGUCCCAUCAAAAUUAACCUAUGCAUGAAUAAGUGAUAUUAAGAACAUUAUUGGGUAAAAAGUGGUCAAGGGCACAACUUGCCUGAGACUUGAGAUUCCAGGUACCAGGAUGAUCUUCAGAUGACUCGUGACCUCACUGCUAGUCGUAGCAAUACAGACAAACAUUGUAUAGGCAAAAUUAACAUUACACCAAACAUAUAUGCAAAAUACAUAUUAAUAAUCUACACAUUGAAAUAAGAUCAGAGGAACAGAAAUUAUUAAUUUUGGAGUUAUAGAUUUUAAGUUAUGGAUUUUCCAAAGAUUCUAUGUGCUUAGUACAAAAUUAAUUAAGAUAACAAUUUUAAUGUGACUUUUAUGUCAAAACAAUGGUACCAAAUGAUAAGCAAUGAUUUUAUAAAAUUAUAGGAAUUGGAAUGAAUUAAUUUGGACUAAAUAUGCAUUUUCUAUGAAUUAAACAAAUUCUAGCAUUUAUUUUUUGCAUAAAAAUCAUUUUCUAAUUCCUUUUUCUAGAUUUUAUAAUUCUCUGGACUGGGCCUCAAUUACAGGAAAGUCCAGGGGCUAAACUAAAAAGAUCCCCGAGACUCAGAGGGCUGUGGCAUGGGACGGCGGGUUGAUUCUUAAGUCUUCUAGGGUCUCUUCUGCAAAAUCGCCACAGCGAAAGGGUAUCCAUGAAUUCUGGCCGUUGGAUUAGAUCCAAACGGUCCAGAUUUAAUGCACCGAAGCGGUACACCGCUUCUAAUCCUAGCCAUCCAUCUACGCAUCAACGGCCCAGGAUUUUAUACGGGCGCGGUCGAUCGGAUCCGCCCGAUCAACAUCCAACGGCCACGAGUAACUCCGCGAAGCGGUACGCGAAGAUCUAAUCAGGGUCGUUCCUUGGACAUCGGACGGUCGCGCGCCAUCUUCUUCACUUGUACAAGACGCGCGACGGCACCGCUCACUGACGCGGCCAUGACCCGCCGGAGCCCCUGCCCUCCGCCGCGCCAGUGCACCAAAACCUACCCCAAUUAGUGCCACGCAUGGAGGAGAACGAGGUCAACACAACAGUCGAAGAUUUACCGGAGAUUGGUGUGGUAGAAGAUCUGACCACGGCGAGCAAUGGAUUUGCGGCGGUGCCGGGUCAUCGGCGAGAAAUUGCCGACCUCACGGCUGUGAUACACGCCUGCCGAUGUCACGAGCACGCGCGGCGGCAUCCCGCGACGUGCCCAGAACACCCCCCCAAGGUCGGGGAGUUGCCCACGGUGAGAUCGAUAGUGGCGGCAUCCUGAUUCCCUUCUCCUCUGCCUCUUCACGCGGCGGCUUCAAGGUCAAUUCCCCCAGCCCAGAGAGCACUACCAGCACGUAGGAGCCCCGAUGAGCACCCGAACGGGCCGGCGAAUCCCCCAAUGGCUUCCACAGGCUUCGGCACCGAGUUGAGCGAGUAUCCGAUGGCGGCGCGGAGGAAGUCAUGGCUUGCGGUGGAUAGACAGAAGGGCGUGCAUAGCAAGAUUCUUAUAACCAGCGACGGAGGGGGCAAGUCCGAGCUGCCAGGUCGGAACAAGCCGUGAUUCCCGCGCGGAAUUUGGGAUCGCCGUGCAUGCAGCGGAGAAGAUAACACCAGCACCCGCGCGGAGUUCGUCCAGAGGAUACUGAGCGGGUGGUCCCGCCACGCAGUGACACAGUGAAAAAGAAAAAGAAAAGGGGGCGCAAGUGGGCCGGCGGGGUGCUUUUCAGCCCAGCAGGCGCAGUGAAGGCGCGGAAAAGGGAAGAUGGGCCGAACUGAGGUUGAGCCGGCCCAAGCAGCGUUUUAACCUUUUCCUUUUUUUCUUUUCUUAUUUCAAAUCCAAUUUAAACCAUGUCUAAAUUCUAAAUUUCAAAUUUAUGCACAAGAAAAUUCCACAUGAUGCAUAAUUUCUACAUAAUAUUUAUUUAUUUUAUUUACUUAUUUAUUUUAUUUUAUUUAGGCUAGGUUUUCAACAUGAAGUACACACACCACAUUAUUAUUUGAGUGUGUAGUUGGAUUAAAGGUAUAUUCAAAAGUCCCCCCUUUGUUUUGAUAGGAACAUUUUUCCAAUGUCUAAUCUCUAUUAUGAUUUAUUUUAACCAUCGUUAUUUUAUUAUGAUCAUUUACCUUUAAAAGGGGUGAAUUAUAAAGUUUAAUUAUUUAUCAAGGGUACUUUGCUCGGAUUUCUUCUACCAAUCUCAAAUUCAGAAUUUGGGUGUUACAGAACGUCAGUGAAAUAGCUACUCUUCAUUCUUUAGGUAGCCUAUUUAGGUGUUAUAUAUGUGUUGCUCUGGUACUUGAUGUGCUGAUAGAAGGUUGGUAGUUUGCUUGCUUAAACCGAAAAUUAGGCCAUGUUCUUUGUUAGUGAACCCUGACCCAAAGUUGAAUUUUCCGUCAUCACUCCAUGACCCAACUCAUGCAAAUAAAUGCUUAGAUAAUUUAUUUGUUGGACAUAAAUUGUACCUAGGCUUAAACCAAGAAUCUCGAGUCAUGUCCCCAUCCUAAACCAUAUCCUUAUUCAGUUGGUGCAAGCUGAUGUACCUUAUCCAGUUCACCUGUUCUUAAGGAUCACCAUGUUGCUUUAUCAACCCAACCUAAGAAAGACAUGUCCAACCAUUUUUCUGGAAUUUGAUGCCUUUGGUUUCCCAUAUCUAUCGAAGGCAUACCAACUUAAUCUUUUGAUUGUUUUCCCCUGUAUCUAGUCAGAUACUGAUCCUUGACCUUGUGAUUUCUACGAUGGGCAUAGAAAUAUGUUUGGGGCCGAAUUAACAGUCUCCUGUCGUACUCCUUUCAUCAAAUUUAGGUUAUGGCCAUGCCUUGUUCAUUUCAUCGGGCCAUGAUCUGUUUGGCUCUUUACUUGUAACCAUCCUUACAGGUGGAGUAUCUCUUUGUAUAUUGUCACCCUUGCCCAAUUCAUUUGUGUCGCGUGAGAUUUCUUAUUGGUUAUGUCUGAUAAUGGUGUUAUGACUAAAACCAGUGGUGCCGUGACGAAACCGAGGGCCUUCUGUGUGUAUGCACAUGGUUGCGCUACUCGGCACACGCUAGUAUCACAGUUAGUAGUCAUAAUCCAUUAUGAGAUUAUAUCAAUAUGUUAUCUUUCAUAGACCCCUUCCUUGAAACAGUUUCUAUGUUGUUUGUGAAGUGAUCAAGCAACAUCUGUCAUCUCCGUUGGAUCAAAAGGGCAUAGCACUUUCAUGUGUGGUCUUAUUUCUUUUGAUCUUGGUAGUGACUACUCAUACAAGUUCCCUUUACAUCCUUUGCGUAAAGGUGAAGCUUUGGAGCUUUUUAGUGUUAGAAAACAACUGAUUAGCUCUCAAAUUGGAUUUCCCCUGUUGCUGAAAUGCAGGAGUUUGUUCAUUCGCUCUCCUAUUUAAUCCAUGUAUUCCUGGAUUAAGUCAGUUCCUCUCGCAUGACGAAACGGAAGAACAACCUGACCAAAUGGAUUUCUGCCCAAGUGCAUGAUCAACUGUUAGUAUGAGUGAACUCUCGGCCGUUGGCUUACCGAUGGUACUGAGAGGACAUGCCCAAUGUCAAAAAUGGUUCAACAAGUUGGUUUUGACUAACUUGUAACUGCCCAAUGAACAAAGAUUGAGUUUAGAGAUUGUUUUAUCGAUUUGCCUGAACUCAUUUUGGUUCAACCCACCCUAAAAAAAGUACUUACAAGAAUCGAGAUUAAGUCGGCCAGUAACCACCUAAUCAUCGCUCUAGUCGUGCCUUGAUCGCCUCACGUGUGCUUUUCCACCAUGAGUGAUUAGGUCGAGUCAUGCUUAGUGCUCAAUAAAAUGGAUUGGUUACGAAGGCAACAUCUACAGAUCCCUUUUGGCGAUUCUUCGAGUCUCUAUCAUUUUUCUUGGACUUGGAUUUUCUGGCUAACACGAGUUAACUGUGAUGCUGCUCGACAUUCACACCCAUCUCGUGUGCUAUGAAUUUACCAUAACCACUUGUUGGUAAACCCCUUUCUGUGUUUUACCCAAGAUGGUGCAUCUGAUUCUGUUUGGGUAAAUUCGCAUAUCUACCGCCCGCUCAACAGACUCAGAUAGUACAGUGUCAUCAGAAAAAGCAAAUUACGCACAUGGAACCUUAUGUGUUCUUCUCGCAGACAUCGUUUCUAUUGGUGGACGUUUCUAAGUUAGCUUAAGGCGAUACAUGUUAUGUCCACUGGAGAAACAAUAUACCGAGACACUCGCCUUAUUUGGAAAUGUCUCACGAUUAUCGCUGAUAUGGACAUGGGUUACAUGCUUCUCUACUCUUAAAAGUCUUUCGCUCCGAACCUCGGGACGAGAUUCUUUUAAGGGGGGAGGGUUGUAACACCCCAGGUGUUUAUACUCCGCACGACAACGAGUACGGAUUUAAGCACGUAAUAUCAGUGGAUAAAACAGAUGCUAAAUUCUAAUCAUCUUCGCUAUCGCGAUUUUAAUAUCGCAUCGGUUUCGUUUGUCGCGAGUGCGAUAUCGUUUUUAUUUUUAUCUAUCCGGGCUCUUCCUAAAUUUUCGAGAUGCUCGGAACAUUGUUGCUCCGAAAAUUGGUGCGUCCAGUGAUUAUUUAAACUCAUCGCCCGUGCGAAUACGAAAUUCGGAAGCUCGACCCACUCGAACGAUUUAUCUCGGUCCAAUUAAAUAGAAUUCGUCGACUAAAGUUUUUGGGUGUAAAAUAAUUUGGUUCCCUCUCGUCAAACGAGACAUCGCGUCUGAAGAUUUAUAAUCAUGGUUGGUUUCCAACAAAUUAUUCUCGACAGAGGGAUCAAGAGUCGAGUUGUAGAUGAAGUUAUUUGAUUUUAAGUCGUAUGAAAUAUAGUUUAAAAUAUGGGUCUCAAUCUCAUUUGGCUCAGUAUGUUUGCCUCUUAUUCGAUCCCGAUAUUAUCUGAGGCAGAGAGAUGAACGUUUCAUUUUAUAGUAGGUAAUACUGGGUCCAAAAUUAUAACCCGAUAAUAUUUUAGUUUGGUCCAUUCUCAUCGUGUCGACACCUUAAUUCCAAAACCAUAGAAAUCAGAUUUGUAAAGAUGUUUAUCGUAAUAAAAAAACAAUGGAGAAGAUAAAUCCGAUUUUUGAUUAAACCAACGUGUAACCCUCUCCUCUAUCCCAUCGCCAGCACUACUGCUGCGUGGCAAAAAUUUCUGGAUCAGCAAUCUCCAAUUCCCACGCGUCUCUCUCCCUGCAGGCUUCAAUCUUCAGCCGCUACCUUUCUAUUGGAUAUUUUCCUCACUGCGUUCACCAGUGCGCCUGGGAAUCAGCCUCACGUUUGUACUCUGCUCGCCGGCAUCAUGGACAGCUCGCGGUCGCUGCGUUGCCUGGGUCCAGUCACCAUUUCCAGCCGUCCAGCUCCUAGCUCGGCAUUCCUGUUCCCCACAGCCGCGACCCCGCAUAUCUCUUUCCCUGGCUGGACGUUCCCACCUUGUCGUGCACCGUCGAUCGUCGACCUCGUCAGUCCCUGCGCGCAAGCUAUCUGUUGGCCGCGCUCCUCCCUCAGCUCGCCCUCUCCAGUCCAAACUCGCCCCUGCGCUCGGUCCUCAUCGAGGAUACGUCACCCUCCAGCUCUCCAUGGUCGUCGCUCCCUGGUGGUUGUUCGCCGGAGCCUGUCAGCUCACGCCCUCCCUCUGUGGGCUGGCCGUGGGCUCACCUUCCCCUGGUUUACGCUCGACGCCGGCCACCAGUUCUUCCCCAGCAGCGCCCCCUCUGUUUUUCCCAUGGUUGCAAACCUAUCUGUAGCAGCCCCUCGCUGCCGGACAUCCUCCGGUAGUCCCGCACCAUCCGCACUCGUAUGGUGUUUGAUAAAAUGUCCAAGUGAAGUGCCCUGUCAUGGACAACCCUGUUAGCGUCGUGGGAUGUUUGGUAUUUUACGUAGCCCAUCCACGACAUCGUCGACCCUCGGUGAGGUUUCAUUCUUGCUUUGUCGUUUCAUUGAUCGACGUCUAUUUGCUAACAUAAAUUGUGUUUAUGUGCCUAUGUGUGUUGAGGAGCGAAAUCCGUGGAAUCUGGGUGAAAGGAUUGAAUCGGUUGUCGUGGUCGUUUAGUGCCGAUCGAGUCAACUUUAGUCAUGGUGAGCUCUUAGGCUAUCUAGCGUGUAUGGUGGAUUGAUUAGGAUAUGAUCGAUGAUUCUCUUGUCUAGUGUUAGGUGUGAUGAUAUAUUGUAUGAAAUAUGCUUGGUGAAUAUAUAUGCAUUGAUACGAUUGUGUUAAUAAAUCAUAAAUGAUAGAGUUUUGUUUAUGGUUAAGUUACUUAUACAAAGAACAUGCUAACACUUGUUUGGACAGCACAUGAUAAUUAUAGGAGUAAAAUUGAAUGUUUGUUGUUUGGACUGUGUCCAAUUUUAGUAUGCAGGUAGUUAAUUGAAGUAAACUUUGUUUUAUGAAGAUAUGUUAUAUAAACAAGUUGUAGAUAACCUCUUCAUCUUACUUGUGCUAAAAUUUUAUGGUCAUAUGUCUAGUAGUUUAGGAGUUAUGAUUUUUCAAAGUCCAGUUUCAGAAUCUGUCCAGAUUCUGUACUGAUUUCGAAAAUAACCUUGUUUGCCCAAGUUAAACUUAGCAUUAGCUCUUAGUAAUUAUAGGAGAAUUGUAGUACUUUGCUUAAGCUUUCCAACAAAUUUUGGAGCACCCUUUUUGGUGGUCUAGAGACUAAGUUAAAGCUGUUUGAACUAUAGAGUCUGAAUUUGUCCAAAUCUGGACAGCAAUGUUUGUUUGUAUUAACUGACUUCGAUACACAUUAAAUUAAUCUAGGAUGUUCAUAAAUGAAUUGUAGAGAAUUCUAUUAGCUUUCUAAAAAGUCUAGGAUCACCUGAUUUGGAUGCCUGAAACUCUAGUUAUGAAUUUUUGAAGUAAGUAGUCGAAUUCUAUCCAAAUCUGGACAGAAUUUACGUUUAGUAUUGUUUGACCAUUCUAAGUGUCAAGUCUCAUUGUGAGGAUAAUACAAAAGUUAUAGAGGAAUUCUUAAGCUUUCUAGAAAGUCUUAGUUCACAAUUUUUGGAUGAAUAUUUUGUAAGUUAUGAGUCAAACCGCUGACUGCUGUACUGCUGUCCAAAAUCAGCAAGCAUUAAGUUGAUUUCUUGAAGUUACUCUUGUUUGGUUAGGUUGGAUUAGUCAAUUUUUGAUUCUUGAUUGAUGAAUGCUAGUGAACUAGUGAUUAUUUAGGCCUUCUGUGGUAAUAGUAAACUUAAUAAUACGGAAAAGGUUUAGUAGACAUAUAUAUCUAUUAUUAAGUUGAUUCGGUCCUCUUGUGGCUAUAAAUAUGAUAUAAGUGCCUUGUGCUUGAGUAGCAAAGUUUAGAGUUGAAAUGUUGGUUAUAUAUAUAAGUGUUUUAGGUAAUUAAGUUGAGAAAACUAAUUAAAAUGCUUCUAUCCUUAUUCUAAAUCUUAAAUAUCCGAUUCUAAUUAGUCUAAGUCUGAUAAUCGAUUGGUGUAUGCUGUGGCAUAGAAAAACAUAUAGUUUUCAUGCAUGAUUGUAGUUUCUUGUUCAAAUUAACUUCGGUCAAGCUAGAGAAGCUCGAUUGUUGUGUUUCAUUGUUUAUCGACAUCUAGCUUAUGCUGAUGAGUAUUGUAUUGCGCCUCACCCUUAAGUACUUAGUUCUCUAUUGCAUAGCGUCGUAAAGUCUUAUGUUAUUGAGAUGUCUUAUUUAGUGGUGCGUAAUUCAAGUCAUCUAGCAAAGUGGUUUAGAAGGUUAGUAGCUUAUUUGUAUUCUUGUUCUAAAUUUGAAGUGUAUAAAUAAUGACCUUAUGCUUUAUAAAUCUUUUGGUGUUAUGUUUGAACUAAAGAAAAUAUAGGAACUAGAUCUAGUUUUAAAAUUCUUCAUGUUUGGAUUUGAUUCGUGUAAAUUAGAGAACGUGAUCAUUGUGUUGGUUGUGUAUCUCUAUCUAAUGCUUGGUUAUGAAUGUUUGUGAUGUCUUGCUUGAAGUGUUUCCCCUCUUUAGUAUAGGUUAAUUAUUAUUUACUAUUCAUGUCCUUACUCAUAUGCAUUAUUGCAUAUCAUCUAGGUACGUUAAUUGAUCACGUGAUGUGGAAGACCAGGUUUGGAUUGAUCUCAAGAUAAUGCUGAUGGACGAAGCUAAAGUGGGUGAAUCAAACAACUGCCAGGAUGAGAGAUGCUCACCAAGUGGCCUUCAUCUAACAACACUAACUUAGUGUUAUUCCAGGCAAGCCCCGGUGCAUUUGCCACCUCCUUGUUGUUAUAAAACUUUUAUCACUUAUAUGUUGCAUUAGGUGAUAGGAGUUGAGUGAUGAAACAAUUGAUGCAUUGCCAUUCCUUGGAAUUUGAUUAUCUUCCUUGAUUCCUGUUUUAUAAAGAGAACUAAUGAGGCUUAGCCCUGCUUAGAAAAAACUAAAAGUUGUUUCUUUCAAAAAGAAUGUUGUGCAACACUGGAUAUGGGUUUUAUGAAAAAGGAACUUGCAAUAAUGAAGGCAUCACUCGCGAUGAUGAAUUCAUUAUUCGAGUAUUGUACCUCUGUCAGGUAUAUGGUUUGGGUAUUAAAUAAUAAAAUGAGACCAGACGUUGAGCAGGAAAGGUCGCCUGUCUGUGUCGAUUAAGGACCGUACCGAUUGUUGGCCUGAUGAUCUAGGACCUUUUAACUGGCCACAUACCUCGUCAUGGGUAAGCCUGAACCCGGCUAUUCCAUACGUGAAAAGACAACCGCGCACUGGGCGUGGGAGAUGGUGGGAGUAGCAGUUACCCUCCUGGCAAGAGGCUGGAUGGUAGGGUAAUGUGCUCUCGGGUAGCGCGGACCGGUUCAUGUAGUGGAGGAUCCGUGGGAAUGGUUGACAUAUGCAAGGGUUAAGUGCUACAUAUGUCGUGUGGUUGGAGAUCCCCAGCUAGGUAUUAAUCGAUUCGGAUCGCCGUUACUUCUCGGAUAUGAAGACUGGAUCGCUGCCCUUCAUCGUAGAUAACAAGCGAAACAAAAUUUUGAUUUUAAAAGAAAGUUAGUAUAGGACAAGUGAAUGCUCUAGAUUAGGCAAAUCUAGAUUCAGGAAAAGUACUUAACUUGUGAUGUAAAAUUUUGGCAUAAGGAUCCACUACUAGUAAGCUUUUCUGCAAAAAUGAGUCUUUGAAAUUUGAUAAGCUUUACCUUGAUUCCCGACAAACCAGCAUAGCCUUGAGAGUCUUUUCUUUAGUCGGGUAAGUCUUGCUGAGUAAUUGCGUACUCAGGGUUUUAUUCCAUGUUGUUUUUCAGGUUGUAAUUUUGUUCUGUUGUGGAUGGUGCUAAGUGCCGGUGGGCUUGGCCUUCUUAUAUAAGUAUAUCCCUUCUAUAGUUUCUUUAAUGAGGAUUGUCACUUAAGCUAGCAUGUAUUUCAAAUUUACAAAUAUUCUAUAACAUUUUAAAGUGUAAUUCUUUUGAAACACUUUCUUUUGUAAUCACUCCGAUGAGG
rnacentral:lncRNA from 1 species